rnacentral:lncRNA from 1 species
AUGAGGGGCAGGGCGCGGGGCUGGCUCCCGGGCGAGCGGAUGCGACGAAAGCGAAGACGGCUAAGCUCCCGCGCUGCCGCUGCGCUGCCGCCGCCGCGCUGCCGCCGCGCCGCCGCCGCCGAGCACGGCGGGAUAGGCCCUGAGGGCGGAGGCAGAGCGCGCGAGGGACGAGCCCCGACGCCGGGCGGUGGCAGCCCGGGGCACAGGAGUGGGAGGGGCCGCGCAGGGGAAGGAGGGCCGCGGCCCGGGCUCCCGGUCACUCGGCCGCCGCCGCCUCAGGCAGCACGCGCCCAGAGAGGGGGGGCCGGUCUCACAGGGCGCCCAUCACCAGACGCCGAGGGCCGGAGCCUCGAAACCUCGAAGCCUGAGGAGCGGCCCCCCCCGUCCCCGAGGCCUCCCCGCCCGCCCGCCCCGGGCCUGGCGAACCUCUUCCCCUCUCCGGCCGGCGCCGGCGGCAGAGGAGGGAGGGAACUGUGGGGAGGGGAGAGAAGGCCGAAAGAACUGGGAGGAGGGGGAUAGGGAGAGAAAGAGCAGUCACCCCACUAGGCGCCUUCUGUCAGCGAAGAAGGGAGUGCGGGAUGGCCGAGCAGAAGAAGCGCGUCCGCCCGGGAAACUCUCCGCUUUAAAUGGCGCCGAUGUCUGAAGCCUCCACACAGCCCGCUUGGACCCCGCCCCCCGCUGCCCGGGGCGGCCCCGCCCACAUCGCUCUCGGGGGCUCUCGCGCAGGCGUGCCGAGCUCGAGGCACAAUGGGAUUUGUAGUUUCAGAGUAGAAACCGUGAAAGGGACCAGGGAGGAAGGCUCCUACUACUUCCGUGAUGCCCUGCGAUGGCUCUAGCCUAGUGCCUCCUGGGAAUUGUAGUUCCUUUUUUUGAAAACCGCCCCUUCUGAAAGCCUGAUGGGAGCGUCAUCGUGGGUCGCUCAAUUCCAUCCCAAAGUCAGCGCUCCCUACCAAAAAUCAUUAUUUAGGAAUCAACUGCAAAAGAAGUGAAGGAGAGGGGGGGGGGGAAGAAAUGAGGAGAGAACGAGAGGCUUCCGUCAUGUUCUGCUUAGAUAGCUCACAGGGCUGCCAUGCAAUGAAAAAUGAUCUGUUGUUCGCCUUUAAUGGAGAGCCUCCUCAGUGUUGAGUGACUAGGGGUGUGGGAGUGGAGAGGGAGGCAGAGCUGGAUCACCAGAGCCCGAGCUCGAAGACUCCAGGGAAACUUUGUGAAGUGUACACAAAAGAUCACUGUUAAUUAAAUGGGUUGGGGAAGACAAAUAUAUUCCAUCCUUCUCCCCUCCACAGCAGCUUAAGACCACAUGCUCGGCUCCUGUUUCCAAACAAGUACUUUGGCUGCGAAGAUGGGCUGCCUAAAACCCAGGAUCAGAGCGAACCCUCUUGGCUUUGCCAGAAACUUAACGGGGUGGGGGG